UGCAAGUCGAACGAUGAAAUCCUCUGCUUGCAGAGGAUGGAUUAGUGGCGAACGGGUGAGUAACACGUGGGUAACCUGCCCAUAAGAGGGGGAUAACAUUCGGAAACGGAUGCUAAUACCGCAUAGGUCUUUGAGACGCCUGUCUCUUAGAUGAAAGGUGGCUUCGGCUGCCGCUUAUGGAUGGACCCGCGGCGUAUUAGCUAGUUGGUGAGGUAAUGGCUCACCAAGGCUGUGAUACGUAGCCGACCUGAGAGGGUGAUCGGCCACACUGGGACUGAGACACGGCCCAGACUCCUACGGGAGGCAGCAGUAGGGAAUCUUCCACAAUGGGUGAAAACCUGAUGGAGCAAUACCGCGUGAGUGAAGAAGGUCUUCGGAUCGUAAAGCUCUGUUGUUAGAGAAGAACAAGUCGGGUAGUAACUGCCCCGACCUUGACGGUAUCUAACCAGAAAGUCACGGCUAACUACGUGCCAGCAGCCGCGGUAAUACGUAGGUGACAAGCGUUGUCCGGAUUUAUUGGGCGUAAAGCGAGCGCAGGCGGUCUUUUAAGUCUGAUGUGAAAGCCCACGGCUCAACCGUGGAGGGUCAUUGGAAACUGGAAGACUUGAAUGCAGAAGAGGAAAGUGGAAUUCCAUGUGUAGCGGUGAAAUGCGUAGAUAUAUGGAGGAACACCAGUGGCGAAGGCGACUUUCUGGUCUGUAAUUGACGCUGAGGCUCGAAAGCGUGGGGAGCGAACAGGAUUAGAUACCCUGGUAGUCCACGCCGUAAACGAUGAGUGCUAAGUGUUGGAGGGUUUCCGCCCUUCAGUGCUGGAGCUAACGCAUUAAGCACUCCGCCUGGGGAGUACGGCCGCAAGGCUGAAACUCAAAGGAAUUGACGGGGACCCGCACAAGCGGUGGAGCAUG
rnacentral:rRNA from 1 species